rnacentral:rRNA from 1 species
AGCAGUCGCCGCGGGAAAACAGAGGGUGCAAGCGUUAAUCGGAAUUACUGGGCGUAAAGCGCGCGUAGGUGGUUUGUUAAGUUGGAUGUGAAAUCCCCGGGCUCAACCUGGGAACUGCAUCCAAAACUGGCAAGCUAGAGUAUGGUAGAGGGUGGUGGAAUUUCCUGUGUAGCGGUGAAAUGCGUAGAUAUAGGAAGGAACACCAGUGGCGAAGGCGACCACCUGGACUGAUACUGACACUGAGGUGCGAAAGCGUGGGGAGCAAACAGGAUUAGAUACCCCUGUAGUCCCUGUCUCUUAUAA